AGUAAUUGUUGUUCAUCCUAUCCGUGCAUAAAUCAAUUUCGCUUUGCCUAUUGCGUGUACAUCCCUUAACACAGGCGAUUUCGAAACUUCUGGAAAAUCCGACGAAUUAUUGAUAUUUUCACAGAAACAGAAACAAACGUUACAAGUCGAGUAUACAUUCGCACAAAUAGCUGAAACCACAUAAGGACUACCUUGUAUUAUAAUCUAACCAAAAGGUAGUCAUGUCGAUGUGCACAGUCCUUGGCACGCUAUCACUGUUGUGCUCAACAGUGCUUGUGGUGUCCGAGCCAGCCCCGGAUAUCAGUUCGCUAAAAAUCACGGGUUGCCAGUGCUAUGGUGGUAAAAACACGUGCACCGUCGAGCAGAUUGGGUAUGCCCUUCGAGGGAGAGUGAUAGCCACGUUUGAUUCAUCCUCAGUCCGGUGCACUGACGAAGCAUUAACAUAUGCUUGCGGAACAGUCUAUGGUUGGAUUCUAACAUGUGAAAUACCAUCCACUUCCGGUCAAUUUGAGGUCAGGUACACCGGUGCCCAGAACCAGCUCUACGGAAAAAGCUUCGAUCGUGUCGCGCUUCAGAGUUGCUCGUUCGGUAGCCGGCCUUGGGGUGCUAAAGGUUGAAACAACACGUACACAAAUUUUCUGGACACAAUCUUUUAAGAAAACUAAACAUAGAAUAAGAUCAAUUUCUUUUAUUAUGCAUACUAUACAUAAUCUGUUUGGAGUACUAUGAAAGCAUUCGAAUACGUUUUUUCGCUGUGACAUAACCUAAUGCCUGUUCAUUUUAUCAAGCAGAUAAGGAAAGCUUGAAUAAAAUAUGCAUUAGGAAUCUUCUGUCAACCGUUUGUUUUGUCAAAGUUAAAAGGAAGUGGUGAUGUGUGCGCUUUAUACAAAUAAAGAAACCGAUGUUG